GGCAGGUUCACCCUGUUGUUUUUCUAUUUUUAUAUUUUUAUACAGGGUAUAUCAGGAUUGACUUUGGGUACAUUCAACUCUUCAUCAUCAGAACCAAUGCAAUCAAGACAAGAUGAAGCUAGCUACCAAUUGCUGAAGCUAUGGCACAGAAGAACCUACAAGAAUUCUCUGCUCCAAGCCUUGAGAACAUUCCAACUGGUCCA
rnacentral:lncRNA from 1 species